rnacentral:rRNA from 1 species
AGUCGAACGGAAAGGCCCUUCGGGGUACUCGAGUGGCGAACGGGUGAGUAACACGUGGGUGAUCUGCCCUGCACUUUGGGAUAAGCCUGGGAAACUGGGUCUAAUACCGAAUAUGACCGCGCACUUCCUGGUGUGUGGUGGAAAGCUUUUGCGGUGUGGGAUGGGCCCGCG